GUUGGGAGUGGGGGUGUAUUCCUGUAAUCUAACAAUUCGGAGGCAGGUAUAGAGGAUGUUUUAGGGGCGGGGAUUCUGGGAUUGAAUUAGAGAUUAGUCGUCCUCUAGGGAUAAAUUUUCCACUUGGAUGUAUUGGAGGAGCUCGAGGUAGGCAAGUUGCGUCCAAAAAGGGAAAAAAUCGGUCCAAAAGUCACCGACUUGAGAGUUUAAAUCCUGGGAGUGGGAGUUCAUUUGCACCUCGUUCAAACAAGAACAGACCUAUACCUAC
rnacentral:SRP_RNA from 1 species